rnacentral:lncRNA from 1 species
ACACAAAUAAUAAAAAGGUCAUUCAUUAGUUUCAAAGUUAAUUAUCAUCCUACAUUGAAAAAGUAUCCAUCAUACAAAACAUCGUAUAUCAAAUCCAAAAAAAUAUUGUUGAUCAUAAUACAUGUGAGUAAAAAAUGAGGUUACUUGAGUGUCAAAGUUACACCAUCUGCAUGAUCAAAAUAUGAAUGUAUUAGUUUAUAAACUUUAGAUCUAAAAAAUAUUGAAGAAUUAACUUUGUAUCAAACUUACCAUCAUCAAUCAUCAAUCGAACUUAGAAACUCUGCCCACUCUAUCCUCAUUUCAUCAAUCUAUUUU